UACGGAGGGUGCGAGCGUUGUCCGGAAUCACUGGGCGUAAAGGGUGCGUAGGUGGCGGGGUAAGUCAGGUGUGAAAUCUCGGGGCUCAACCCCGAAACUGCACUUGAUACUGCCUUGCUAGAGUACUGGAGAGGAGAUUGGAAUUUACGGUGUAGCAGUGAAAUGCGUAGAUAUCGUAAGGAAGACCAGUGGCGAAGGCGAAUCUCUGGACAGUUACUGACACUGAGGCACGAAGGCCAGGGGAGCAAACGGG
rnacentral:rRNA from 1 species